ACGUAGGAGGCGAGCGUUGUCCGGAGUUACUGGGCGUAAAGGGUGCGCAGGCGGCCCCGCGCGUGGGUGGUGAAAUCUCCCGGCUCACCUGGGAGGGGGCCAUCCAGACGGCGGGGCUUGAGGUUCGGAGAGGGACGUGGAAUUCCGGGUGGAGCGGUGAAAUGCGUAGAGAUCCGGAGGAACACCGACGGCGAAGGCAGCGUCCUGGCCGAAAUCUGACGCUCAGGCACGAAAGCUGGGGGAGCAAACAGGA
rnacentral:rRNA from 1 species